CACUAAACUUUCUACUGCGCUUACUAGCGGUCCUCAAGUUUCAAGAAUUUUUCUACAGAGAUUAAAACAUGCUUCACGUCCCUAAAAAUACCAUAGGAAUCCAAAAUUGGUAAAAAAAUCCUUUUCGGCCAAUUUUUGGGUUCUGGCAUGGCGUCAUCGCCGUGCUCCGGCGACGGCACCACUACCGACGACGAUAGUUUGCC
rnacentral:lncRNA from 1 species